CCUGGUGGUUAUAGAACUGGGGCUACACCCGUUCCCAUUCCGAAUACGGAAGUUAAGCCCAGUAUCGCCGAUGGUACUGCCCUGGAGACGGGGUGGGAGAGUAGGACGCUGCCAGGU
rnacentral:rRNA from 1 species